rnacentral:rRNA from 1 species
CGCGUAGGUGGUAAAGCAAGUAAGAUGUGAAAGCCCUGGGCUUAACCUGGGAAGUGCAUCUUAAACUGCUUAACUAGAGUAUGGUAGAGGGUAGUGGAAUUUCCGGUGUAGCGGUGAAAUGCGUAGAGAUCGGAAGGAACGCCAGUGGUGAAGACGACUACCUGGACCAAUACUGACACUGAGGCGCGAAAGCGUGGGGAUCAAACAGGAUUAGAUACCCUGGUAGUCCACGCUGUAAACGAUGAGGACUGGAUGUCAGGCAGCAUGGCUGUUUGGUAUCGAAGCUAACGCGAUAAGUUCUCCGCCUGGGAAGUACGGUCGCAAGAUUAAA